rnacentral:rRNA from 1 species
UACGGGAGGCAGCAGUGGGGAAUAUUGCACAAUGGGCGAAAGCCUGAUGCAGCUAUGCCGCGUGUAUGAAGAAGGCCUUAGGGUUGUAAAGUACUUUCAUCGGGGAGGAAAAACAAAACUAAUAAUUUUAUUUCUUGACGUUACCCGAAAAAGAAGCACCGGCUAACUCCGUGCCAGCAGCCGCGGUAAUACGGAGGGUGCUAGCGUUAAUCAGAAUUACUGGGCGUAAAGAGCACGUAGGUGGUUUUUUUAAAGUCAGAUGUGAAAUCCCUGGGCUUAACCUAGGAACUGCAUUUUUGAAACUGAAAUACUAGAGUAUCGUAGAGGGAGGUAGAAUUCUAGGUGUAGCGGUGAAAUGCGUAGAUAUCUGGAGGAAUACCUGUGGCGAAAGCGGCCUCCUAAACGAAUACUGACACUGAGGUGCGAAAGCGUGGGGAGCAAACAGGGAUUAGAUACC